UCCGUAGGUGGAUAAUUAAGUCAGAGGUGAAAUCCUGCAGCUCAACUGUAGGAUUGCCUUUGAUACUGGUUAUCUUGAGUCAUUAUGAAGUGGUUAGAAUGUGUAGUGUAGCGGUGAAAUGCAUAGAUAUUACACAGAAUACCGAUUGCGAAGGCAGAUCACUAAUAAUGUACUGACACUGAGGGACGAAAGCGUGGGGAGCGAACAGGAUUAGAUACCCUGGUAGUCC
rnacentral:rRNA from 1 species